UACGUAGGGUGCAAGCGUUGUCCGGAAUUAUUGGGCGUAAAGAGCUCGUAGGCGGCUUGUCGCGUCGGCUGUGAAAACCUGGGGCUCAACCCCGGGCCUGCAGCCGAUACGGGCAAGCUAGAAUUCGGUAGGGGAGACUGGAAUUCCUGGUGUAGCGGUGAAAUGCGCAGAUAUCAGGAGGAACACCGGUGGCGAAGGCGGGUCUCUGGACCGUUACUGACGCUGAGGAGCGAAAGCGUGGGGAGCGAACAGG
rnacentral:rRNA from 1 species